rnacentral:rRNA from 1 species
AGCGAACGCUGGCGGCAGGCUUAACACAUGCAAGUCGAGCGCCCCGCAAGGGGAGCGGCAGACGGGAGAGUAACACGUGGGAACGUACCCUUCAGUUCGGAACAACCCAGGGAAACUUGGGCUAAUACCGAAUACGUCCGUAAGGAGAAAGAUUUAUCGCUGAAGGAUCGGCCCGCGUCUGAUUAGCUAGUUGGUGAGGUAACGGCUCACCAAGGCGACGAUCAGUAGCUGGUCUGAGAGGAUGAUCAGCCUCACUGGGACUGAGACACGGCCCAGACUCCUACGGGAGGCAGCAGUGGGGAAUAUUGGACAAUGGGCGCAAGCCUGAUCCAGCCAUGCCGCGUGGAUGAUGAAGGCCUUAGGGUUGUAAAGUCCUUUUAACGGGGAAGAUAAUGACGGUACCCGUAGAAUAAGCCCCGGCUAACUUCGUGCCAGCCGCCGCCGUAA